UUUGCAACCCGACUUGAGUGAAGCUCUUUUGGGUUUGAUGGUUGAGGCUCUCGAAAUCAUCAAAUAUAAAAAGCGAGAACGGAAGGCGGAAAAGUUG
rnacentral:misc_RNA from 1 species